rnacentral:tRNA from 2 species
GUGCUCGUAGCUCAGCUGGAUAGAGCAACGCCCUUCUAAGGCGUAGGUCAGGGGUUCGAAUCCCUUCGGGCACACCA